rnacentral:lncRNA from 1 species
CUUGGCCCUGUCACUGCGCUGUCCCCUGUGCCUGCAGGACUCCCCUGAUGAGCCCGCCAAGGCCAUCUGCAGUUCCCAGGCCCAGAUGUGGGGUCGCUGAAACGAGGGGGUCGUGGGGUGCAGGUGGCCCCACUCAUGGCCUGCUGGGCUCAUGGUAUCCCUGAGCCACGCAUUCCAAGAGGAGCGGCCACAGCAGCCCUGGGCAGCACUGGCGCCAGCAUGCAGGGCGGAACUGUGCAUGGCUUGGAGGGGUGAGGAGAGUGACCUAGGGAAACUGCUAAACACCUCCCAAGGGUUUCUGCUGUCUUGCGCCUGAACUCACCGGUCAGCCCUCCUCAUGUGUGACUGCGGUGUCUGCACAACCAUCCUGGAAAUAACUGAGCAGGCCAAGGUGCCUCAGGUCUAGCUUUUGUGGGCGGUUAAGACUGUGUCCACCAAGAGGAAGAAAAGGAGAACCUGGCUUCCAGGUUUUGGGGCAUGGCCCUGUUACCCAAUGCUGUUUGCUCCAGAGAAGCAUGGAAACAAGAGGUCUGCAUCUGUGCCAACGGUCAUUAAUUCCUGCAGUGAAGCCCAAGCCGCAUGCUAGGGGCUCGUCUCCCGUCUUCAUGCUUCAUGCUGCACUUGCUUCUCUUCAGCCAUUUACCUGAGAGAUGCUUCCUGGUCAUGUCUCCACAGAGCAGAGGGAGCCCUGCAUCUGCCAUAAUGAAACAGAUGACGCACGA